AACGCGAAGAACCUUACCUGGGCUCGAAAUGCAGGAGACCGGGGUAGAAAUAUCCUUUCCCCGCAAGGGGCUGCUGUAUAGGUGCUGCAUGGCUGUCGUCAGCUCGUGUCGUGAGAUGUUGGGUUAAGUCCCGCAACGAGCGCAACCCUCAUCCCUAGUUGCCACCGGGUAAUGCCGAGCACUCUAGUGAAACCGCCCCGGAUAACGGGGAGGAAGGUGGGGAUGACGUCAAGUCCUCAUGGCCUUUAUGUCUGGGGCUACACACGUGCUACAAUGGUCGGUACAGAAGGCAGCGAAGUCGUAAGAUGGAGCAAAUCCCUAAAGCCGGCCUCAGUUCAGAUUGUGGUCUGCAACUCGACCACAUGAAGUUGGAAUUGCUAGUAAUGACGGGUCAGCAACACCGUCGUGAAUACGUUCCCGGGCCUUGUACACACCGACUGUAC
rnacentral:rRNA from 1 species